GGAGUCAGGCCCGCGGGGAGGAGCCGGGCCAGGUAUUUUGGCUGGGGGUGGGAUGGCGCUGUUAGGUUUUCACAAAGAGGGAAAAGUGAAAGCCCUCGGGUGGAAGGAGGCGCAGCAGCUCGAUUCCUCAGCCGACCCGGAGCCGACGCACCUCCCGGCAGGUUUUUGUGAAAACAAAAGUUCUUUCUCUCUGGGACAGAUAAACAAGAGUGAGAUUUCUAGGUCAUAUGGGCAUAUGCUGAAUGAAAAUGGGACCACUCUGUUCCCAGUUCAACCUAAGGUACUUGGCAUAGUACCAAGCACAUACUAUGUCUUCAGCGCUGGGGAAGCAGGCCGGCCGGCAGGCAGCAGGAAUCUCUUGCAGCUUCUGAGCUUCAGUUUCUGA
rnacentral:lncRNA from 1 species